GACGAAGGGGGCGAGCGUUACCCGGAAUGACUGGGCGUAAAGGGUCCGUAGGCGGUAUUUUUUGUUAAAGGUGAAAAAUUAAAGCGUAACUUUUAUGAGCCUUUAAUACGUUAAUACUAUGAGUUUGAUAUGGGAUAGCAGAAUUUCAUGUGGAGGGGUGAUAUCCUUAGAUAUGUGAAGGAAUACCAGAGGCGAAGGCGGCUAUCUGGUUCAAAACUGACGUUGAGGGACGAAAGCAUGGGGAG
rnacentral:rRNA from 1 species